AACACAGGGAACAUGAGCACUUUUCCAUUCUUCAGAAGCUGGUCUGAGAUAUAAUCCAGGUAUCAGCUGGGAGGCUUCCUGACAGGGAUCCCCAGAGGCAGCCAUGAAGUUCCCCAUAUGGAUUCCCCAUUGAGUCCUGAGGAUUCACGACAUGGGUUUGGCAAGAAAAGUGAAAUCUGCUCCAUCAAGACUGAUGAUUCAACUAGACAUUAAUGGGGAAGAAGGAGGGGGAAAUGACGGACACCAAAGAAAGAAUGCAACACCCUGCCUCAUCACAUCAUCGUGUCCUCCACCCGCUAAAUUUCCAUUCUCUCUCCAACAUCUGCUUGAUGAGCGGCACAAACAUGCAGUCAGUGGCCUAGUCAGAAAUCCUGAAAACCAUCCAGACCUGCUCCAUCUCACUCAUCUGGCUCCUCAACC